UGUUUUCCCCCCGGCGGACUUAGCAUAUCAAUAAGCGGAGGAAAAGAAACCAACAGGGAUUGCCCCAGUAACGGCGAGUGAAGCGGCAACAGCUCAAAUUUGAAAUCUGGCCCCUAGGGCCCGAGUUGUAAUUUGCAGAGGAUGCUUUUGGCGAGGUGCCUUCCGAGUUCCCUGGAACGGGACGCCAUAGAGGGUGAGAGCCCCGUCUGGUUGGACGCCGAGCCUCUGUAAAGCUCCUUCGACGAGUCGAGUAGUUUGGGAAUGCUGCUCUAAAUGGGAGGUAUAUGUCUUCUAAAGCUAAAUAUUGGCCAGAGACCGAUAGCGCACAAGUAGAGUGAUCGAAAGAUGAAAAGCACUUUGAAAAGAGAGUUAAAUAGUACGUGAAAUUGUUGAAAGGGAAGCGCUUAUGACCAGACUUGGGCCCGGUGAAUCAUCCAGCGUUCUCGCUGGUGCACUUUGCCGGUGCCCAGGCCAGCAUCAGUUUGCCCCGGGGGAUAAAGGCUUUGGGAAUGUGGCUCCCUAGGGAGUGUUAUAGCCCAUUGCAUAAUACCCUGUGGCGGACUGAGGUUCGCGCAUCUUGCAAGGAUGCUGGCGUAAUGGUCAUCAGCGACCCGUCUUGAAACACGGACCAAGGAGUCGUCUUCGUAUGCGAGUGUUCGGGUGUCAAACCCCUACGCGUAAUGAAAGUGAACGCAGGUGAGAGCUUCGGCGCAUCAUCGACCGAUCCUGAUGUUCUCGGAUGGAUUUGAGUAAGAGCAUACGGGGCCGGACCCGAAAGAAGGUGAACUAUGCCUGUAUAGGGUGAAGCCAGAGGAAACUCUGGUGGAGGCUCGCAGCGGUUCUGACGUGCAAAUCGAUCGUCAAAUAUGGGCAUGGGGGCGAAAGACUAAUCGAACCUUCUAGUAGCUGGGUUUCCCGCAGAAUUCCCCUCCUCCCCGGAGUAUAA
rnacentral:rRNA from 1 species